rnacentral:rRNA from 1 species
UACGUAGGGUGCAGGCGUUAAUCGGAAUUACUGGGCGUAAAGCGCACGUAGGCGGUCUUUUAAGUCGGGGGUGAAAUCCUGGAGCUCAACUCCAGAACUGCCUUCGAUACUGGAAGACUUGAGUCCGGGAGAGGUGAGUGGAACUGCGAGUGUAGAGGUGAAAUUCGUAGAUAUUCGCAAGAACACCAGUGGCGAAGGCGGCCAACUGGUCCGGUACUGACGCUGAGGAGCGAAAGUGUGGGGAGCGGAACAGG